GACCUGUCCUAGAAAGGGCAACAUGUCUUCUCUAGCAGAGAGGAUCACUUGGGCCAAAGUGCUGUUACUGAAUUCAGCAGAGAAAACACAAAGCAUGAUAUCUACAAGUGGAAAGGAUUCUGAUCAGAUUUGAACAAAUGAAGGAAUCAUAGAAAGUUCACAGAGAUGAUGACACAUUAGUACGGGGUACACUGUUUCCCCAUCCUUGAGAUAUUUCACCAAGACAAAGAAUAAAUGAAACAAAAGGAAGACCUCUGAUAAUUUUUAAAACAAAAUAAGACUGAAGAAGACAAAAAUUCUUCUCUGUUAGUGGAGCUGUGAGAUUCAAAAGUAAAAAUGUUGCCUGCCGGGAUCAUGACUAUGAGCCCCAAACCUAGUUUGGUAGAUGUAAAGAUAAGUAACAGAAAUAGCAUU